AUCCAGAUGACGAGUCUCAAACAGGACGAAAUGCCCGUUAUCCUGGAU
rnacentral:hammerhead_ribozyme from 1 species